rnacentral:rRNA from 1 species
UGGCCAGCAGCCGCGGUACUACCGGCAGCCCAAGUGAUGGCCGCUGUUAUUGGGCCUAAAGCGUCCGUAGCUGGCCGCACAAGUCCGUCGGGAAAUCCGCCCGCUCAACGGGCGGCCGUCCGGCGGAACCUGUGUGGCUUGGGACCGGGAGGCCUGAGGGGUACGAUCGGGGUAGGAGUGAAAUCCCGUAAUCCUGGACGGACCACCGGUGGCGAAAGCGCCUCGAGAGGACGGACCCGGCAGUGAGGGACGAAAGCCAGGGUCUCGAACCGGAUUAGAUACCCUUGUAGUCC